rnacentral:rRNA from 1 species
UUCGAGUCGUUGAUUUCACACUGCCGAGAAAAGCCUCUAGAUAGAAAAUAGGUGCCCGUACCGCAAACCGACACAGGUAGUCAAGAUGAGAAUUCUAAGGUGAGCGAGCGAACUCUCGUUAAGGAACUCGGCAAAAUGCCCCCGUAACUUCGGGAGAAGGGGUGCUCUUUAGGGUUAACGCCCAGAAGAGCCGCAGUGAAUAGGCCCAAGCGACUGUUUAUCAAAAACACAGGUCUCUGCUAAACCGUAAGGUGAUGUAUAGGGGCUGACGCCUGCCCGGUGCUGGAAGGUUAAGAGGAGUGGUUAGCUUCUGCGAAGCUACGAAU